rnacentral:lncRNA from 1 species
GGCCAUGCCUUUCGAAAGCCCUACAAAAAUGCUCGCAACUCCAAACAUGAUUCUCCAAUAUGCAAUGUAGACUACCCUAGCCCCCACAAGAACCAAGUAAUUUCUCUUCCAAAAUGCCUCAACUUGCAAUCCAACUGUCUCAUGGUACCAUGAGAAUGUCUAAAGCAUGAUAAGAAAAAAGAUUUCAUAGAAACCCCUUAUCCACAUGUCACGAAACUCCUUAUCCACAUAUCAAAUGGAGGCUUCUGCCUCUGUUUUAAUAUAUA